rnacentral:lncRNA from 1 species
UCCAUACCUACCAAUAAUUCAUGUAAGUCCUACUAAUUUCUUUCUACUAUAUAGCACUGCAUCCAAUAACAAUAUUCUUUUCCGUACUUGUUAAUUUGUUGAAUCAACAAAGAUCCUUUGUAUGGCCCGCAUAUCAUAGAAUACUGUAUAUUAAUGGAUGCGCCACUAUAAAGAGGUAGACGGCCAUCGAGCAACACAUACUAUGAAUGAUAUGGCAUGUGCUCGUAAAUUAUCUUAUUUGAUAGCUGUCCAUCUUUUAAUGAUAGCUAUGGUG